UGGGGUGUGGCCAAGCGGUAAGGCAGCGGGUUUUGGUCCCGUCAUUCGUAGGUUCGAAUCCUACCACCCCAG
rnacentral:tRNA from 6 species